rnacentral:rRNA from 1 species
GACGAACGCUGGCGGCGUGCUUAACACAUGCAAGUCGAGCGGUAAGGCCCUUUCGGGGGUACGACGAGCGGCGAACGGGUGAGUAACACGUGGGUGACCUGCCCUCAGCUCUGGGAUAAGCCUGGGAAACCGGGGUCUAAUACCGGAUAUGACUCCAUGACGCAUGUUGUGGGGUGGAAAGCCUUGUGCGGCUGAGGAUGGGCCCGCGGCCUAUCAGCUUGUUGGUGGGGUGAUGGCCUACCAAGGCGACGACGGGUAGCCGGCCUGAGAGGGCGACCGGCCACACUGGGACUGAGACACGGCCCAGACUCCUACGGGAGGCAGCAGUGGGGAAGUCUUGCGCAAUGGGCGAAAGCCUGACGCAGCGACGCCGCGUGAGGGAUGACGGCCU